CGCUAUACCUGAUUACAUCUGAUCUUUCAAUCGACGUCAUACUCCUCUCAACCCUAAGUCGGGAAUCAGGCAAUCACUACCAUUGAAGGUAGCAGGCUCACAGUGCCAUUCAUUGGCACUGUUCAUCUCGUUUCCAAAGUUUCGAUUCACACCAUUGAAGGCUCCAAGACUUAGUUAUCUUCGUACCUUUUCUAUUCAAGGUGCCAGGAGGCGGAAUACCCUCAUCUAAUUGUCAAUUUCAUCAAAGCUUCUUGCUUAAGUCUGUCUACCCAAACCAGGUUCCUUUCGAUUCAGUUUAAUCGCCGAUAAUGGGAAAACAAAACAAGCAAGAUCAAAGUGCACAAAAAGAAAUGAAUGAUUAUGAGAAGAAUAGACUUUUGAGGAUUAAAGAAAACCAAGCAAGACUAAAAGAUUUGGGAGUUAAAAGCAUUGCAAAUUCUUUGACAAGUUUGGUAGAAAGUCAAAAACCAAAGAAAAAACAAGUGAAACCAACGUAUAUCGGUGCUAGAGAUUCAGACUAUAUUCCUGAUUUGGGUGAUGAUAAUGAUGGAGAUUACCAUGAAGUUGCUAAAAGUGUUCAAGUAUCCAAAAAGCAACAUCGUCCACAAUAUAUUGCACCAAUGUCCAUGAAUAGACUUGCUAAUUUAACAAGGCAACGUCGGGUGAUUGCUCCAAAUGUCUCAAAUAAGUAUCCAUUGGUUUCGAAUGCAACAAAAGAAAAACAAUCUAGAUCAAAGACUAGUAUGGGUGACUUAAUCUUGAGGAAUAAAGGACCGCAAAGGGAAAGAGAGGUAUUCAAACAAAAUGCGGAAAAGCAUAAUUGUAUCAUAAGUGGAGCAAAGAGACAAUUGGCUCUUGUUGAUGAGGAUGAGGAUGAUGAGAUAUCUCAAGCUGAUAUGGAGCAAUUUGGUUUGAAAGAUAAUGUUAAUGAAGGACGUCUUGCGCAAUGUGAAGAAGAUGAUGUUGAUCAAAAUGAUGACCAUGAAGACAUGGACCAUUUGAAAUAUGCAAAUAUUGAAAAUGAGAUUGAAGUUGAUGAUAGCGAUGACGAUUUGGGAAAUGAGGAUGAUGUACUUUUUGAAGAACAAUUAGAAAAUAUGAUGUGCCCGAUGAUGCUAAAACUUGGGUUCUUAGGACAAUUGGAAAUUUGUAUAAGGUAUACAAAUGUAGGUUCAAGAAAAAACACUUCUAUCAAUUUAAGGACAAUAAAACAAGAUGGAAGAAUCGACAUGAAUGCAUUCCUCAAGAAGAGUUCUCAAAACUAUUAGUGUUAUGGAAUAAAAAAGAUGUGGCGAAACGUUGUUCGCGUGCAAAAGAAAUACGCAAGUCUCUAAAAAAUAUGCACACGGCUGGUACAAAAAGUUUUGCUAGAAUUCGUGACGAAAUGAAAAAUGAAGAUCCAAACAAGGAAUUCCCAACUCUAAGUCAAAUGUUUGAACGUACACGUAAAAGGACAGAUGGGCAUGUAUAUGUCGAUACAUAUGAUGACACGGCAAAUAAAAUUG